UCCAUAGAUUUAGCCCUUAGUGAUACUAGC
rnacentral:piRNA from 1 species